UCUAAUACUAAGAUUUCCAAACCAACAGCGGAGGGAAAAGGUCAACACAGAUUCAAUAUAUGAUCUAUAAAAUAGGAUCAUCAAUGACUUAUCAACUUGAAACUUUGCGAGCCUCCUUAGACAAAAUAAUCUUUGCUGGCCCUUUUUUUUCCCAAGAUUUUUGUGCAGGUUUU